rnacentral:rRNA from 1 species
AGUGGGAGCCCUUGAGUAACACGUGGACAACCUGCCUCAAGGUGGGGAUAACAUUUGGAAACAGAUGCUAAUACCGAAUGAAACUUAGUGUCGCAUGAUACGAAGUUAAAAGGCGCUUUGGCGUCACCUAGAGAUGGAUCCGCGGUGCAUUAGUUAGUUGGUGGGGUAAAGGCCUACCAAGACAAUGAUGCAUAGCCGAGUUGAGAGACUGAUCGGCCACAUUGGGACUGAGACACGGCCCAAACUCCUACGGGAGGCUGCAGUAGGGAAUCUUCCACAAUGGGCGAAAGCCUGAUGGAGCAACGCCGCGUGUGUGAUGAAGGCUUUCGGGUCGUAAAGCACUGUUGUAUGGGAAGAACAGCUAGAAUAGGGAAUGAUUUUAGUUUGACGGUACCAUACCAGAAAGGGACGGCUAAAUACGUGCCAGCAGCCGCGGUAAUACGUAUGUCCCGAGCGUUAUCCGGAUUUAUUGGGCGUAAAGCGAGCGCAGACGGUUGAUUAAGUCUGAUGUGAAAGCCCGGAGCUCAACUCCGGAAUGGCAUUGGAAACUGGUUAACUUGAGUGCAGUAGAGGUAAGUGGAACUCCAUGUGUAGCGGUGGAAUGCGUAGAUAUAUGGAAGAACACCAGUGGCGAAGGCGGCUUACUGGACUGUAACUGACGUUGAGGCUCGAAAGUGUGGGGAGCAACAGGAUUAGAUACCCCUGGUAUUCCACGCCGUAAACUAUGAGUCUUUCGUU